GGUGUUUGUGCAACUGUGCAUACAUUUUCAUACAUACAGAGACCCAGGGAUUGAAUGUGUAUUUUUGGAUGUGUGAUGGUAUUGACCACAGGACUUUCAGAGCUACAUGUGCAGCUUGGGCUGCAGGAAUGAAUCCCUGGGAAAAGUACAAAUAAGCAAAUAUUUACUUAUUUAUUUUCCCAGAGAUCAUUUGUGUGUAUAUGAAGAAUUUGUCUUUUUUUUUUUUUUUUUUUUAGGGGUCUGAUGUGGAGUAGAGAAAUCCUAUUCCUGCAUUGGCUUGCCUUGUAGUUGACGAUGAGAGUGGAGUGACAGAUUAUGGACCUGACCUGUAUUGUCCUCAUUCACCACACUUUGGUUUUGUCUUCAGGGAAAAGAUGUUUGCUGGCUUGGAGACACCCUCACCAUGUUCCCAAUAACCUAUGCUUAGACUUAAAAUCUGGAAGAGGCCAAGCUUCUAGGAUGCCUUCUACUCAGUAGCAUGUCUUAGUAACUGCUUUAACUGGCUUUUCAUGAGCAACCUCUCCAAACCCUUCAAAAUAAAAUGCAAUUUCAUCUAGAGGUACUGAUCUUC
rnacentral:lncRNA from 1 species